GAAAAUCCUUUAUUGUUCCACUCCACCAUGAAUCUGUAUAACUGAUGAUGCAACACACCAAAGUUGCACGAUGCAUACUUUCUCCAAUCACAUCCACAGAAGUCUUC